ensembl:lncRNA
AGCCCAACUCUUACACACUGAGAGUGUAGAAGUGUGUGUGUGCCAGCUGUGAACAUGUACAGCAGGGACUGCUGGUCAGUGCAGCAGCUUUCAUCAGCCUAGAAAGAGAGGGAAGGGCUUUUGUCAGUGAGUUUGCCUCCCUUUUGGCUCCGUACACGCAGAAGCUUUAAGAGGGAGAAACCUCUGUGCUGGGUUCAGUUCCUUUCUUUCCCCCCUCUUUUGUUUGUGAUAGUACUUAACACAGCAUGGCAGUUGUUUAUCUGAAGUUGGUAGAAGGUUCCGGAGCUUGUGUGGUUAAGGAUACUAGGGCAGUUCCACAUAUUCAUACUUGUUCCUGCAGGACUUAAUGGUUUUCCAUUCAUCUCAAUGCCAGUAGCUUGGCCGGUGCAGGACAGCCCAGAAUUUUGUGUAUCUUUGCUUUUUCACUUUAGAUUUUUUUUUUUUUUUUGCACCAAUAAGCUGAGCUGUAAAUGCCAUGUGACUAAUGGCUCUGAAGUGUCAUGUGUCAUGUUAGUGCUGAUUGGCUGAUGGCAGUGUGAGUAUUUGCACAGUCAUCAGCUGGGGCUUCAAAGGCAGCAGACAAGGAGAAAUAUAAGUCCAUUUCAUGGUUUAAACAGCCGUCCAAAGAAAGCCUUUCUGUCUCUCUCAUCCCCUCUUUCAAAAAUCUCAUGGAGAGGUUCAAGUCUGCUAAAUGUUGGCGAUGGUGUCUGCAUCAGUGAAGGACACCUCAAUAACAACUCCAUUGAUAUCUACAGUACACCUACUGCUGCACCAGAGAUGAAGAGACAGAGAUGUCAGGACCUUUACAUGGCAAUUUGCUUGCUGGACAGCCCACCUUCUUCAAAGAGCCCUGCCCUGCCAUCAUGGCGGUCACUCUGAUUGGCACCAAUGACGGCAACUCUCGACUGGUGAGGUUACCAUGGCAACAGGGGGGUCCCUAGGGGCAAAAGCGGUACUGAAACGAAAAAUGAGUCAUCUGUUGAUUAGGUUAGGAAGUGCAUUUUAACCUUUUGCCAGUUCUUUGGCUGCUUUCAUUUGUAAGCAAAACGACAGCGGAAGCUGAAGAGCUUUAGAUUGUGUUUACCAUUGAUCAGUGAGUUGAUGGACCGUUUUUAGUUCCUUGGUCUUGACAGUCAGUUAUAUUUAACACAUUCUGUGAGCUUGUUAAUUAACACACAGUCGUGUAUCUGCCCUACUGUGCAGCCUGUAUGUGAACAGCUACAGUUAACUGUGCAUGUGUGUGUGUGUGGAGUGUGUAUUCACCUAAAGGAAGACUCACCUCUGAUUUAGCUCCUGUUUGACUCCAGUUAGAGCUCAGACAGUGUGUGAUAUUUACUGAAGCGCUUGGGUUGACCUAGGUGAUGCCGGGUCGGUGGUGUGUGUGUGCCGGUGUUAAUUGGGGGUGAAGUGGCAGUGUGAGAGGAAAAGGGAGGUGUUGAUGUGUGGACGUGUGUGGUGGUGAAAGCAAGCUACAGGUGACAUGACGCUUCUGUGACUGGAGAUGUACAUCCAGUUCAAUCCACGGUCUCGCCACAAUUACUGUUUUCUGUUCUGUUAUCUCUCUUUCUCUCAGUCUCUCUCACUGUCUUUCACACCUAUUCAGGCUUUCAAAGCGCUAAAGUGGGUGUUUGUAUUGUGCAGGUGACUGCCCAUAACAGCCAGAGUCCUGGCACUACUUCUGGAGGUCAAAUAGAUACAUAGCCAUUGACAUGUCUAUUUGUUUUUGGGUGAUCUGAUCACUCGGAGCAAAACAUUUGCGGAAACUGGGUGUGAUUACACAUUGAAAUGCAUCUGAUCUGAUAGACACAGAUCUGAUAAUUCAUUCAAAAAUGACAAUUCUGACAUCCUUUACUGGCAUGUGUGAAUGUGCAGUGUGAGUAUGUGUAUGUAUUUACAAGUAGUACUUUUAUUCAGUCAGGACGUAUUAAACUGAUCAAAAGUGACACUAAAGACAUUUAUAAUGUUACAAAAGAUUUCUAUUUCAAAUAAAUCCUGUUCUUUUGAACUUUUUUAUUCA